GACGAACGCUGGCGGCGUGCUUAACACAUGCAAGUCGAACGGAAAGGCCCUGCUUUUGUGGGGUGCUCGAGUGGCGAACGGGUGAGUAACACGUGAGUAACCUGCACUUGACUGUGGGAUAACUUCAGGCAACUGGGGCUAAUACCGGCUAGGAGCUCCUGCUGCAUGGUGGGGGCUGGAUAGUUUCGGCGGUUGGGGAUGGACUAGCGGAUUAUCAGCUUGUUGGUGGGGUAGUGGCUUACCAAGGCUUUGACGGGUGGCCGGCCUGAGCGGAUGACCGGCCACAUUGGGACUGAGAUACGGCCCAGACUCCUACGGGAGGCAGCAGUGGGGAAUAUAGCACAGGAGGCUGAGGCCUGAUGCAGCACAGCCGCGUGCGGGGAGACGGCCUGCGGGUAGGAAUCCGCUGUCGUCUUACACGAGACGUGAGUGACGGUAAUGGGUAAAGAAGCACCGGCUAACUACGUG
rnacentral:rRNA from 1 species